GACGAACCGUGCGAACGUUGUUCGGAUUCACUGGGCUUAAAGGGCGCGUAGGCGGCUCGCCAAGUCGGGGGUGAAAUCUUUCGGCUCAACCGGAAAACAGCUUCCGAUACUGGCGGGCUCGAGUGGGGUAGGGGCGACUGGAACUUCCGGUGGAGCGGUGAAAUGCGUAGAUAUCGGAAGGAACGCCGGUGGCGAAAGCGAGUCGCUGGGCCGAUACUGACGCUGAGGAGCGAAAGCGUGGGGAGCGAACAGG
rnacentral:rRNA from 1 species